GCGAGUAUGGCCCUCACGGGUCUAAUCCACCAUAAACACCUUUGUGAACCAGUCAGGGGGACUCUGCCGUGAAAGCCCAGGCGAUUAGCGGAAGGGCCCUCCUUUGCAAACCCGUUUAGAAGUCUUGAAAGUACUUUUGUAUAAUCUAGUA
rnacentral:misc_RNA from 1 species